GGGUUGUGAGGUUAAGCGACUAAGCGUACACGGUGGAUGCCCGGCAGUCAGAGGCGAUGAAGGACGUGCUAAUCUGCGAUAAGCGUCGGUAAGGUGAUAUGAACCGUUAUAACCGGCGAUUUCCGAAUGGGGAAACCCAGUGUGUUUCGACACACUAUCAUUAACUGAAUCCAUAGGUUAAUGAGGCGAACCGGGGAACUGAAACAUCUAAGUACCCCGAGGAAAAGAAAUCAACCGAGAUUCCCCAGUAGCGGCGAGCGAACGGGGAGCAGCCCAGAGCCUGAAUCAGUGUGUGUGUUUAGUGGAAGCGUCUGGAAAGGCGCGCGAUACAGGGUGACAGCCCCGUACACAAAAAUGCACAUGCUGUGAGCUCGAUGAGUAGGGCGGGACACGUGGUAUCCUGUCUGAAUAUGGGGGACCAUCCUCCAAGGCUAAAUACUCCUGACUGACCGAUAGUGAACCAGUACCGUGAGGGAAAGGCGAAAAGAACCCCGGCGAGGGGAGUGAAAAAGAACCUGAAACCGUGUACGUACAAGCAGUGGGAGCACGCUUCGGCGUGUGACUGCGUACCUUUGUAUAAUGGGUCAGCGACUUAUAUUCUGUAGCAAGGUUAACCGAAUAGGGGAGCCGAAGGGAAACCGAGUCUUAACUGGGCGUUAAGUUGCAGGGUAUAGACCCGAAACCCGGUGAUCUAGCCAUGGGCAGGUUGAAGGUUGGGUAACACUAACUGGAGGACCGAACCGACUAAUGUUGAAAAAUUAGCGGAUGACUUGUGGCUGGGGGUGAAAGGCCAAUCAAACCGGGAGAUAGCUGGUUCUCCCGAAAGCUAUUUAGGUAGCGCCUCGUGAAUUCAUCUCCGGGGGUAGAGCACUGUUUCGGCAAGGGGGUCAUCCCGACUUACCAACCCGAUGCAAACUGCGAAUACCGGAGAAUGUUAUCACGGGAGACACACGGCGGGUGCUAACGUCCGUCGUGAAGAGGGAAACAACCCAGACCGCCAGCUAAGGUCCCAAAGUCAUGGUUAAGUGGGAAACGAUGUGGGAAGGCCCAGACAGCCGUGAUGUUGGCUUAGAAGCAGCCAUCAUUUAAAGAAAGCGUAAUAGCUCACUGGUCGAGUCGGCCUGCGCGGAAGAUGUAACGGGGCUAAACCAUGCACCGAAGCUGCGGCAGCGACACUAUGUGUUGUUGGGUAGGGGAGCGUUCUGUAAGCCUGUGAAGGUGUGCUGUGAGGCAUGCUGGAGGUAUCAGAAGUGCGAAUGCUGACAUAAGUAACGAUAAAGCGGGUGAAAAGCCCGCUCGCCGGAAGACCAAGGGUUCCUGUCCAACGUUAAUCGGGGCAGGGUGAGUCGACCCCUAAGGCGAGGCCGAAAGGCGUAGUCGAUGGGAAACAGGUUAAUAUUCCUGUACUUGGUGUUACUGCGAAGGGGGACGGAGAAGGCUAUGUUGGCCGGGCGACGGUUGUCCCGGUUUAAGCGUGUAGGCUGGUUUUCCGUGCAAAUCCGGAAAAUCAAGGCUGAGGCGUGAUGACGAGGCACUACGGUGCUGAAGCAACAAAUGCCCUGCUUCCGGAAAAGCCUCUAAGCAUCAGGUAACAUCAAAUCGUACCCCAAACCGACACAGGUGGUCAGGUAGAGAAUACCAAGGCGCUUGAGAGAACUCGGGUGAAGGAACUAGGCAAAAUGGUGCCGUAACUUCGGGAGAAAGGCACGCUGAUAUGUAGGUGAAGUCCCUCGCGGAUGGAGCUGAAAUCAGUCGAAGAUACCAGCUGGCUGCAACUGUUUAUUAAAAACACAGCACUGUGCAAACACGAAAGUGGACGUAUACGGUGUGACGCCUGCCCGGUGCCGGAAGGUUAAUUGAUGGGGUCAGCGCAAGCGAAGCUCUUGAUCGAAGCCCCGGUAAACGGCGGCCGUAACUAUAACGGUCCUAAGGUAGCGAAAUUCCUUGUCGGGUAAGUUCCGACCUGCACGAAUGGCGUAAUGAUGGCCGAGGCUGUCUCCACCCGAGACUCAGUGAAAUUGAACUCGCUGUGAAGAUGCAGUGUACCCGCGGCAAGACGGAAAGACCCCGUGAACCUUUACUAUAGCUUGACACUGAACAUUGAGCCUUGAUGUGUAGGAUAGGUGGGAGGCUUAGAAGUGUGGACGCCAGUCUGCAUGGAGCCGACCUUGAAAUACCACCCUUUAAUGUUUGAUGUUCUAACGUUGACCCGUAAUCCGGGUUGCGGACAGUGUCUGGUGGGUAGUUUGACUGGGGCGGUCUCCUCCUAAAGAGUAACGGAGGAGCACGAAGGUUGGCUAAUCUGGUCGGACAUCAGGAGGUUAGUGCAAUGGCAUAAGCCAGCUUGACUGCGAGCGUGACGGCGCGAGCAGGUGCGAAAGCAGGUCAUAGUGAUCCGGUGGUUCUGAAUGGAAGGGCCAUCGCUCAACGGAUAAAAGGUACUCCGGGGAUAACAGGCUGAUACCGCCCAAGAGUUCAUAUCGACGGCGGUGUUUGGCACCUCGAUGUCGGCUCAUCACAUCCUGGGGCUGAAGUAGGUCCCAAGGGUAUGGCUGUUCGCCAUUUAAAGUGGUACGCGAGCUGGGUUUAGAACGUCGUGAGACAGUUCGGUCCCUAUCUGCCGUGGGCGCUGGAGAACUGAGGGGGCUGCUCCUAGUACGAGAGGACCGGAGUGGACGCAUCACUGGUGUUCGGGUUGUCAUGCCAAUGGCACUGCCCGGUAGCUAAAUGCGGAAGAGAUAAGUGCUGAAAGCAUCUAAGCACGAAACUUGCCCCGAGAUGAGUUCUCCUGACCCUUUAAGGGUCCUGAAGGAACGUUGAAGACGACGACGUUGAUAGGCCGGGUGUGUAAGCGCAGCGAUGCGUUGAGCUAACCGGUACUAAUGAACCGUGAGGCUUAACCUUACAACGCCGAAGCUGUU
rnacentral:rRNA from 1 species